rnacentral:rRNA from 1 species
GGCAACCCUGACGGAGCAACGCCGCGUGUGGGAGGACGGCCUUCGGGUUGUAAACCUCUUUUCUCAGGGAAGAAGCUCUGACGGUACCUGAGGAAUCAGCAUCGGCUAACUCCGUGCCAGCAGCCGCGGUAAGACGGAGGAUGCAAGCGUUAUCCGGAAUUAUUGGGCGUAAAGCGUCCGCAGGUGGCGAUUCAAGUCUGCUGUCAAAGCACGGGGCUUAACUCCGUUAAGGCAGUGGAAACUGAAUGGCUAGAGUGCCGUAGGGGUAGAGGGAAUUCCCGGUGUAGCGGUGAAAUGCGUAGAGAUUGGGAAGAACACCGGUGGCGAAAGCGCUCUACUGGACCACACCUGACACUCAGAGGACGAAAGCUAGGGGAGCG